UGCCAAGCAGUACCAUUUCUGCCGCCGUGAUCCGGACUGGCGAACCCCGGGCCACUGAAGCGGAACGUGCACACUUAACUGUCGCGCCACCGGGCCAGCCCCUGGGUUUUCACUUCUGAGAGGUUGACGCAGGUGCUUUCGCAGUUCACAGGCCUCUUCACUUAGCUGCUGAUUCAUCUCACUGAAAUGGGGCAGCAGCCAGGCCUGCCACUGAUCCAUCUUCCCCUGGAUCCUGCCUCAGCUCCUUUCACUUCUAUACCAGGAACUGCUGUCAGGCAAGGAGUUUCCUCCAUUCUGCCAUAUUGUGGUUGAUCAAAAAUCUAUUUCAUGCAAGCAAUCUAAAGGUCACUGAAGCCAUGAAAAGUGAAACUGAAGAUAAGGGGGAACUACUGCAUCUCUGGAAGUUGAAGAUAUUGUGUCUCCCAUUGGCCAAACAUCAUGGGAAACUACGGGACAAUGGAGCCAAGUGAUGUAAUCCAUAUGGGUCCAACUUGGAUAUAAAGCCAUCAGAAGAGCAGGAAGUGGAUAAGGGAGGGCAAACAGGAGAUACCUAGCACAUCCAUUUCAUUUCCUUUGCUCAUUUGUAUUGUCUUUUUAAUGGAAUAUGGAAGCUUUCUUUUAUAUUGGGAUGGAUCAAUCCUUUGUUAACUAUGUAGCAUUUUCUCCCAGUUAACAACUUGCAUAUGAAUUUUUUUUUACAAUAUCUUUCAUAAUAUUGACUUGUUUUUAUAUUUUGCGUGCUCAAAACUUCAUUUUCUUCUUUUGGUUCAGUGCCCUCUAUUCCAAAUUUCUAUACUUGGAAUUUUGGGAAAUAGUCUUCCAAUAAUUUAAUCUCUUUUCUUAAGUCUCUGGUAUACAUUUACUU
rnacentral:lncRNA from 1 species